rnacentral:rRNA from 1 species
CCAAAUAUCUAAACGGAGAAAUUCAAUAUUACCCUUAACAAGUAAUGUGCACUUUUCUCUUAGUAAGACGCCGUGAUCCAUUAGAAAUUGGUGCGUACCAAACGCAUAGUGGGUCAUCAAUAGGCCGGUGUGAAGUUUAUUCGGAACAAAUGGCGUGGCCUUUAACGGUCGCGUGUAUUGUCUGGUAAGCGCAUCGAUACCUGUAAUGACUGUCUGAUGGAUUUUAAAGAUUGCUAUUAACGAUGUCUCGGCAUCGGCGCAUGCGCUYAAGUAGCAUAUCCGAUCAACGGCGGUUAAAUUUGGGAUACCUUUUGGACCCGUCUUGAAACACGGACCAAGGAGUCUAUCUAGUAUGCGAGUAAAUGGAUAAUUUUGUGAAAUCUAUUUGCGUAAUAAACGUGACUGUUGUGUGGGAUUACAAUUGAUGGUUAGUAAUGGCCAUUAGUUUUCCAUCCCGGGGUAUUUUCAUCCACAUAUAAGCAAUUAUAUGGAAAAUAUACCAUGAGCACACUGGAUACGACCCGAAAGAUGGUGAACUAUGCCUGAUCAGGUCGAAGUCAGGGGAAACCCUGAUGGAGGACCGAAGCAGUUCUGACGUGCAAAUCGAUUGUCAGAAUUGGGCAUAGGGGCGAAAGACCAAUCGAACCAUC